GCUGGGUGUGGUGGCACACACCUGUAGUCCCAGCAGCUCAGGAGGCUGAGGCAGGAGGAUUGUGAGUUCAAAGCCAGCCUCGACAACUUAGCAAGACCCUUAGCAACUUAGUGAAACCCUGUCUCUA
rnacentral:sRNA from 1 species